rnacentral:tRNA from 1 species
GGGGGUUUAGCUCAGUGGUAUAAGCGCCUGCCCUGCAAGCAGGAGGUCAUGAGUUCAAUCCCUG